GGACAGCUCUCUAUUUCCCUUGCGGGCUGCCCAGACAAUGGACAGUGCACCUCUUGGAAGAGCAGCUAAACCUCUUUGUGAAGCAGGUUCCUCAGACUGGUUGAUGUUGGCAGCUGUGUUAUGAUACCUGGAGAAAGUACUUCUGCAGUGUUCUUCAUGUAAGCAAGAGCUGUUGGCACUGAAAAUCUUCCCCAACAUGGAUUCUCCUGAUCUGGAUCAGGCUUCCCAACCCAGAAUCCAGCUGUGUUGUGCAUGUGCUGCUCAGCUCUCUUCAAGUCAAGUGGGCCCCAGUAUGGGCACACCGUGACUGCUGCCUUGACGUUCUCCCAAGCUGACAUCCCGACCGCCAUCCAGUUUCUGCGUGGCAUUAACCAUCACCACACUUGA
rnacentral:lncRNA from 14 species